GGCCUAACACAUGCAAGUCGAGCGGUAGAGAGAAGCUUGCUUCUCUUGAGAGCGGCGGAUGGGUGAGUAAUGCCUAGGAAUCUGCCUGGUAGUGGGGGAUAACGUUCGGAAACGGACGCUAAUACCGCAUACGUCCUACGGGAGAAAGCAGGGGACCUUCGGGCCUUGCGCUAUCAGAUGAGCCUAGGUCGGAUUAGCUAGUUGGUGAGGUAAUGGCUCACCAAGGCGACGAUCCGUAACUGGUCUGAGAGGAUGAUCAGUCACACUGGAACUGAGACACGGUCCAGACUCCUACGGGAGGCAGCAGUGGGGAAUAUUGGACAAUGGGCGAAAGCCUGAUCCAGCCAUGCCGCGUGUGUGAAGAAGGUCUUCGGAUUGUAAAGCACUUUAAGUUGGGAGGAAGGGUUGUAGAUUAAUACUCUGCAAUUUUGACGUUACCGACAGAAUAAGCACCGGCUAACUCUGUGCCAGCAGCCGCGGUAAUACAGAGGGUGCAAGCGUUAAUCGGAAUUACUGGGCGUAAAGCGCGCGUAGGUGGUUUGUUAAGUUGGAUGUGAAAUCCCCGGGCUCAACCUGGGAACUGCAUUCAAAACUGACUGACUAGAGUAUGGUAGAGGGUGGUGGAAUUUCCUGUGUAGCGGUGAAAUGCGUAGAUAUAGGAAGGAACACCAGUGGCGAAGGCGACCACCUGGACUAAUACUGACACUGAGGUGCGAAAGCGUGGGGAGCAAACAGGAUUAGAUACCCUGGUAGUCCACGCCGUAAACGAUGUCAACUAGCCGUUGGAAGCCUUGAGCUUUUAGUGGCGCAGCUAACGCAUUAAGUUGACCGCCUGGGGAGUACGGCCGCAAGGUUAAA
rnacentral:rRNA from 1 species